GCACAGAAGCAGUAAGUGUUCUUUUCUUGCUCUGCUGACAAUGAAAGAACCUAGUGGGGAAACCCCCACUCAACUCCCGAUUCGGCGUGCACCCAAGAAUCACAAACAGAACA
rnacentral:pre_miRNA from 7 species